UACGUAGGGUGCGAGCGUUAAUCGGAAUUACUGGGCGUAAAGCGUGCGCAGGCGGCUUUGCAAGACAGAUGUGAAAUCCCCAGGCUCAACCUGGGAACUGCAUUUGUGACUGCAAGGCUAGAGUACGGCAGAGGGGGAUGGAAUUCCGCGUGUAGCAGUGAAAUGCGUAGAUAUGCGGAGGAACACCAAUGGCGAAGGCAAUCCCCUGGGCCUGUACUGACGCUCAUGCACGAAAGCGUGGGGAGCAAACAGG
rnacentral:rRNA from 1 species